GGAUGUGAGGGCGAUCUGGCUGCGACAUCUGUCACCCCAUUGAUCGCCAGGGUUGAUUCAGCUGAUCUAGCUGGCUAGGUGGGUGUCCCUUCCUUCCUCACCGCUCCAUGUGGUCCCUCCUGAAGCUGUGUCCGGUCAAGAGGAGGACCAUCCCCAAUAGAGGAUUGUUUUUCCAUCAAGGGUAUAUGGGUAGCUGUGUUCCCCUGCUAGAACCUCCAAACAAGUUCUCAAGAAUUAUAUUCAUGAUAUUCACAAUUCAAAAGCAAUCCAAGAAUAUAUAAUGCAAAUCCUCCCUCUCAAUCCUUU
rnacentral:snRNA from 1 species